rnacentral:rRNA from 1 species
GACGAACGCUGGCGGCGUGCUUAACACAUGCAAGUCGAACGGGAGUAUUGAAGAAGCUUGCUUUAGAGAUACUUUAGUGGCGGACGGGUGAGUAACGCGUGAGGAGCUGUCCAAUGCAGGGGGACAACAGUUGGAAACGACUGCUAAUACCCCAUAAGCCGAGAGGUAAAAGGAUUUAUCCGGCAAUGGAGGUACUCGCGUCCUAUCAGCUAGUAGGUGAGGUAACGGCUCACCUAGGCGAAGACGGGUAGCCGGCCUGAGAGGGCGAACGGCCACACUGGAACUGAGAUACGGUCCAGACUCCUACGGGAGGCAGCAGUGGGGAAUAUUGGGCAAUGGGGGGAACCCUGACCCAGCGACGCCGCGUGGGUGAAGAAAUCCUUCGGGAUGUAAAGCCCUGUUGUAUGGGAAGAGCGGAAGACGGUACCAUACGAGGAAGCCCCGGCAAACUACGUG